GCCCGGCAAGCUCCUCCUUCCAAUCGUUGACGGUGAUGGUGAGCCCCAGCAGGCCUUUUUCUCUUGUACUCACUCGAGCAGGGAUGCAUCGCAGUCCUGAAACACUAUAUUUAUUGAGCAGGAUUUACAUGAUGACACAAAGAUAUGGGAUGAAGUCUAUCUGUGAACCUUUGACUUAUGGAUGGAUGCACAAAUGCAGUGUAAGAAUGCUAAACAUUGAUUUUAUCUGUGAAUGUGAUGUGGCUCGGUAAAUAUUUCUGUAAUGGUGGAUGACCAAUUCAUGCAAGAAGAUAGCCAUGCUCUUACAUGGAUGAUUUGGUGAUAUGAUGCCAUGACGCCAGUACUCUGAAUAUAAAGCAACAGACUGUUCAGUUCUUACUUCCGCUGCACAAAGAAGACAUAAAAGUGAACUCUAAGGAGAGAAGCGGCCACCCCAUGGAUAAAGAUUUGCAUUGUCCUUGGUUGGUACCUGGAAUGUCUCCCCAGAAAUGGUUGUACCAGAGAAAGCUAGUGAAAGCGAGAAGAAGAGUGGCACUGUCGCUAUUGCACAGAGAAAGAAAGCCAGAGCUCCGAACGGUACCCUAAGUGAAUGGUUGCUUCACAUGUAUACACAUAGGUUCAAGACAUCUGGUAGAUGGGCUGGAUGUUCUCCUUCUUGAGAUGGUCAAAGCUCACUUUCCUCUAUUAUUUAUUUUUUGUAUCGAGGGGGAAGCUUACUGGAAUUUGUUCCACCUACUCUGGUACUGGGAGCAGGUCACAAAGCCAUAAUAUUAAAAGCAACGAUUCGGUAUCUUUCUUUUCCCACCAACACUCUAGCCUUGUAUGGGGUCGGAUGGUCAUGCUAAUUGUAUGAAGGUUUCCAAAAUCUCUGCUGCUCUGUUGGCCGUUCAUGUGAGAGACAGCACAUGUCAGAGGUGAAGAAAGAAAGAGUCAAAUGGUUGAAGGACGGGAACAAGAUUAAUUGUGGUCGCCUUACAUGGACUGGAGCAUAUAGAAGGAAAGCUCUCUCAAAGACACUUCCACUCAGAAAAAAACAAUAGGGAAGAAGAAAAGGAAUUAUUUGGAUUGGUGUGUACAAGAGAACAAGAUUAAAUUAGACUGAUCCGACAAAACGUAAUUUUGAUGAGCUGCAUGUGUGAUCGCACAGGUAGUUGAGAUAUUAUUCUAAAUAUUUGAAGCAUUUUUAACUGGUUGCCAAAACAAUUCAUGCAUCACGAAUAUGAGGCUGGCAAACUAUUAUUUUCACUCCAUCUCGAGCUAAUUUUUAUGUAUUUCCAGAGUAUGCUAAAUGUAUACAGAGCUGGAAAUGUGGCGGCUUGGAGCUUCACGGGUGCACCCUCCUUGUUUUGGGUUGUGUAAUUGAAUAGCUGGGAUGCUGUAGAAGUUCCACCGUUGUAUGAAUAUACAUGUGCUCACAUUUUUUAAUUGCCGUAACAUGUUUCUG